rnacentral:piRNA from 1 species
UACGGCCAUACACCCUGAACGCGCCCGA